UCCCCUUAGUGAAUUUGACUAGGACUGUUAGUUGGUUUUUACCCUUGUACUCUGCAGUUGAGUAGGGUCUAUUAUGUGGAUUUUUAGGUCUGAACAUUUUUCAGGUAGCCAAUCUCUAUCUUGUUUGUAAUUUACUUUCAUGCAUUUGGUUGUUUCUUUAUUUUAUUUUUUUACCGUGAUGUCAUUUUGGUUUUGCUGUGUAGGUUGCAAGUCUCUUGCUCUUGACUCUACAAAGAAAGCAUCAAAUGAUUCGUCAGUUGGUAAAUCUGCUGGUAAUAUUUAGUCAAACGAGGGUACAAAGGAUGGUCCAAAUUUGGUUUCUUGUGUGUGCCAUGUAGUAUCAGUGCUUAACUUUUUUCUUUAGUUUCAGUGCGAUCUUCAUAGUAAUUACAUUUAAAAGAUCAUAGUAAUUCUAAGUUCAAGUGACAGUAAUUUGCCCUUUUAUAAAGUUCCAAAGUUUCAAAUAUUCAAUCAUAGUGUCAUUUUGGUUUCUGAGCAGGAACAUAUUGGUUUCUCUAUAUAAUACACUGUAUUUUACACUGUAGUUCCAGUGGUCUAGCACUAGAAUUACAGUUUGCUUACACUGUAGUUCCAGUGGUCUAGAGAUGUAAUUCAAACUGUAAUUACAAAGGAUUUUUCACCCUGGUCCACUACUGUAAUUUCUAUUGCUGUCCGCUGAAAUUUUAGUGGUCUAGUAUUGUAAUUACAGUUUGUCUGUCACUGUAAAUUCCUUAUCUGCCAGUGUAAUUUAGUUUCACAUGUUAUUUUUCUGUUCCUCUGUAACCAUAGUGUAAAAACACUUGUUAGAUUUUGCUUUUGUGUAGGAUCUACUCAUCUGUAUAUGUUCUUAUUGCUUUUUCUAGUGAUCUAUUGAUUUUGAGUUUAUAACAAGAGUGCUCUGUGGAUUCUGAUCUACUCUUUCGCUUUGGUAGCAACCUGUUGCUGCUCAAGGUAGAACAAUAUUUUUUGCAUUAGCUAAUGAAAGUUUUUGCAGGAUUUAUUUCCCUGCUGUUUUAUAUUUAAAUUUCACAAUGAUAGUACCUUGUACAUCAUUUGCGCCUGAAGUAGUUGAGUAAAAGAGUAUGCCCUGCUCUGUUAUUUUGUUAAGAAUCAAGUUAGAAAAGCAUGGUUGAAUAUGUUUGUUCAUUUUUUUAGUUAAAAAAAAGCAAUACAGAAACAAUACAAAAAGAGUAGAGCUUUUGUGUUUCAUGAUCUACUCUUUCAUGAUUUGUUACUGAUUUUUUUACUCUCUAUCUUUUUAAUUUCAGUUGUACUUCCCUAUUGGUCUCGAUGGUUGCUGGUUUUCGUUUGUCGUGUGUAUCGAAGAUAGAGCUUUUAUGUUUCUUGACUCAGCGUUUGGAGAGAACUCAACGUAUCAUAGAGAUAUCUAUGAUGAGCUGGUGAUUUUUCUUGUAAGCUUUUAUGUAUAUUUCUGUUAGAUUUUGUAGUUGUGCCACUUUCAUGUACUACAAAUAUAGUUUUUAAUGCUCCCUCUCUGUUCUAGUGCAUUUUUUCCAUGUAUUUUUAGUUUAUUUCAGUUGUAUUCCCCUAUUAUCUUAGUGGAUUUACAGCGUAACUCUCAUUGGAUUUAUAUUGUAAUUAUUUUUAGAGCAUUUUUACAGUGUAACUCAUUGGAUUUGCACUGAAAUUAUCUUUAAUGCAUUUUAUAGUGUAACUGCCAUUGGAUUACACUGUAAUUAUCCUUAGUGCAUCUACAGUGCAACUCUCAUUGGACUUGCACUGUAAUUUUCUUUAGUGCAUUUUAUACUGUAGCUCUUAUUGGAUUAGUGCAUUUUACACUGUAACUUUCAUUGAAUUUAUACUGUAAUUAUCUUUAGUGCAUUUUACAGUGAAACUCAAAUUGGAUUUACACUGUAACUAUCUUAGUGAAUUUUUACAGUGUAACUCUCAUUGGAUUUAUACUGUAAUUUAUCUUAGUGGAUUUUACAGGGUAAUUCUCAUUGGAUUUACACCGUAAUUCUUACUUGUUGUACUAUGUAAAGCUUAGUGCCAUUGUACUGUAUCCACCACUUUGUGUCUAGUGCAUUUAGUGUUAGUUAUUUCAGUGUAACAUGCACUUUAAUUGUACUGAUAGCUCCUCCUUAUCGUCUACAACGCACUUAAUUUUGUUUUCUACAGUAAAUUAGUUUGGUAUGCUUUCCUAAUUUUUAGUUUGAAAACAGAUUCAUAAUAUCACUCCUAUGAUGCACAAAUGAAUUAGUAUUGAAGAGUUUGAUGUCUUGUAUACAGUUGUUCCUAAGCAAGAGAAUUGGUAUUAUGUUUUUUUGCCUUACAUGAUUUUGAUUAAUUUUAUAUAGAUUGUUUUGUAGGCUUCUUUUCUUAUUUUUUGUGUUCUUUGUAACUUUUCAGGCAUGAUUGUGGUGUCUUCACUCUGAAGUAUAUGGAGAUCUUCACACCAAGAACUUAGAUGGCAAAUCUUUUCUCCAAUGUAUUCGAAAUCUUAGGAUCAAAUAUGUGAAUGACAUGUUUUUCAGCCCCUUGGACAGCUGCGACAAAUCUUUUGUCACUGCUUUCUUUGGCAAUGUAUGUUCUUAUUUUCCUUGUCCUCUAUUUCAUUUUCUUUUCUCCUUAUUAGCUUUUUUUUCUUUGCCUAUUCUGGUCUCUUUGAUUUUUUUGUGUAGGGAGGCAAUGCCAAGUGAGGUUCAGCAUGUGCACAGUCCUAGCUCAAUUGGUGGAUGAGUUCCCCUUUUGAGUAGCAUAUAACAUAGAACCACUAGUGCAAAUCAUUUGGAUUAUUGGUGGAUUUACAAGGUCUUUUUAGUGGAUUUAAAGUGGCAUCUUUAAUGCAUCUUGCACUGUAAUUCUUAGUAGUUAAUCUUAGCAGUUUUUUCAGUGCAAACCAUUUGGAUUGUUGGUAGAUUUACAGUGCCAUUUUAGUGGAUUUUACAGUGUAACUUUAAUGCAUCUUACACUGUAAUUCUUAGUGGGCAUGAUAGAAAGUAUUGUCGAUUUUAGUGGAUUUUACAGCAAAUUUCUUGGUGGUAAUAUUAUUGUAAUUAUACUUCUUUGUCAAUGUAAUUUUUAGGUGACAUCAUCUUGGUCCUUUCCUCAUCCCUUUGUUUCUUUAGCUUAGUGUACAUGGAAAAGCUUUGGCUGUAUCGCUGUAUCGUUGUGGUUCUUUG
rnacentral:lncRNA from 1 species